rnacentral:rRNA from 1 species
AGCGAACGCUGGCGGAAUGCUUAACACAUGCAAGUCGCACGGGGGCUUCGGCCUUAGUGGCGGACGGGUGAGUAACGCGUAGGAAUGUGUCCGAGGGUGGGGGAUAACGUUGGGAAACUGACGCUAAUACCGCAUAUCCCCUGAGGGGGAAAGCAGUGAUGCGCCCACGGAGCAGCCUGCGUCCGAUUAGCUAGUUGGUUAGGUAAAGGCUGACCAAGGCGACGAUCGGUAGCUGGUCUGAGAGGAUGAUCAGCCACACUGGAACUGAGACACGGUCCAGACUCCUACGGGAGGCAGCAGUGGGGAAUAUUGGACAAUGGGCGCAAGCCUGAUCCAGCAAUUCCGCGUGGGUGAAGAAGGUCUUCGGAUUGUAAAGCCCUUUCGUUGGGGACGAUGAUGACGGUACCCAAAGAAGAAGCCCCGGCUAACUCCGUG